GGUUAUUAUCGACUGUCGAUUCUUUACGUUGUUCGCUGUUGUGGGAUCCUUAGUUGGUUCAAUAUUGUGUUUUGUGGAGGGUUGUUUCAUGGUUCUAGAAUCCUAUUUCCACUAUUUUAAUUCAUUGUCCCCAAGUCCAGAUCAAGGAGACGUGAUGCACUUACUAAUUGAAGCAAUAGAUAUGUUCCUCAUAGGAACAGCAAUGCUGAUAUUUGGGAUGGGGUUGCAUGCCAUGUUUGUGGGUUCAAAAUAUCUCAAAGGAAAAGGUUCACACCUCCCCUCUUCAAACUUCUUUGGACUUUUCUAUCUCAAGGUGCCUCCCUCCACUUGUUUCCUACAUUUACAUCCCUCCAAAUUGUAUACACACAAUUUCUGUUCUCAUUUUUUUUGUUGUCCUGACUCUCUUUCCUAUGCUCUUUUUUAAUUUUAUCAUCUCGUCAAAAUUUAAAUAUAAAAAUUAAAUAUAAUUUUCUAAAUCAUUAAAAGAUAAAUUAAAUUAAAUUCAAAUUAUAAAGAUAUUAUAGCAUUACAAGAGUGGAAUAAAUUGUAACAAACAAUAUGAGGAUCCAAAGUCACUAAGAAUAAUGACCUACAAAUGUAAAUAUAACAUUUUGCUCAAUUAAAUUAGGCUUCGGUCACAGUUUGUGCCGGACAAUCCCGACCCUAAAAUUUAAGGCUUAGGCUAUGGACUUUGAGUAGUCAAUGUGCCACACUUUCGCUGACCCAUCUUAGAUUCUUAAAGCCGAAGUCCUACCUUUGAUCUUAAAAUUAUGGGCUUGUAAGUUUCGCUGGGUUUGGCGCAUAUGAACCUAAUUUGACAUUAAUUCGGAUUUUAAUUAGAGUUUUCUUUAUAUAUAUAUAUACACUAUAACAGAUAAGAGUUUCAGAAAUUUAAUUUUUUGGUGUCUAAAAGUAAAAAUUUAAUUACAAAAAACAUUUAAGGGCCAAUUUUUAUCUUCAUGAGAAUAGUCACUAAAAGGUCGUUCCGAAAAGUAAAAAAAUAAGGCUAACAAAUUUUGAAAAAUGUCACUAAUAAAUAUACUAUUAGGGACAAAAUAUAACUUGAUCUCAAAAUGUUUAUUUUUUUAGACAAAAAAUUUAGUCUCAAAAACAACAAAAGAAUUUGGUCCCUAAAAAAUAAUUUUGUCCUUAAAUUUUGAUCCCCAAAACCUUAAUUUUUCAUAGUGAUAUAUUUAAAAUUCAUUACACAAAAAUUUGUAAUAAAAAAUUUUAAAGUGCAUCACAACAAUUAGAAUAUUAAACUUUAUUUAUUAAAUAAAAAAUUAAGUCCAUUAAGUUAUUAAAGUGUACUCUCAUGAAAGCUUAAACUGUGCUAACUAACAGUU